GAUGAACGCUGGCGGCGUGCCUAAUACAUGCAAGUCGAGCGAACGGACGAGAAGCUUGCUUUUCUGAUGUUAGCGGCGGACGGGUGAGUAACACGUGGAUAACCUACCUAUAAGACUGGGAUAACUUCGGGAAACCGGAGCUAAUACCGGAUAAUAUUUUGAACCGCAUGGUUCAAAAGUGAAAGACGGUCUUGCUGUCACUUAUAGAUGGAUCCGCGCUGCAUUGGCUAGUUGGUAAGGUAACGGCUUACCAAGGCAACGAUGCAUAGCCGACCUGAGAGGGUGAUCGGCCACACUGGAACUGAGACACGGUCCAGACUCCUACGGGAGGCAGCAGUAGGGAAUCUUCCGCAAUGGGCGAAAGCCUGACGGAGCAACGCCGCGUAAGUGAUGAAGGUCUUCGGAUCGUAAAACUCUGUUAUUAGGGAAGAACAUAUGUGUAAGUAACUGUGCACAUCUUGACGGUACCUAAUCAGAAAGCCACGGCUAACUACGUG
rnacentral:rRNA from 1 species